rnacentral:rRNA from 1 species
GGAGGGAUCUGCGGCCCAUCAGCUAGUUGGUGAGGUAACGGCUCACCAAGGCGAAGACGGGUAGGGGGUGUGAGAGCAUGGCCCCCCACAAUGGGACUGAGACACGGCCCAUACUCCUACGGGAGGCAGCAGCGGGGAAUAUUGCGCAAUGGACGGAAGUCAGACGCAGCGACGCCGCGUGGGUGAGGAAGGCCUUCGGGUUGUAAAGCCCUUUUCAGGGGAGCGAGAAAGGACGGUACCCUUGGAAUAAGCGUCGGCUAACUACGUGCCAGCAGCCGCGGUAAGACGUAGGACGCAAGCGUUAUCCGGAUUUACUGGGCGUAAAGCGCCUGUAGGCGGUCAAGUAAGUCGGAUGUGAAAGCCCCGUGCUCAACGCGGGGAAGCCAUUCGAUACUGCGUGACUAGAGAACGGCAGAGGGAAACGGAAUUUCUGGUGUAGCGGUAAAAUGCGCAGAGAUCAGAAAGAACACCGAUGGCGAAGGCAGUUUCCUAGGCCGCAUCUGACGCUGAGAGGCGAAAGCUAGGGGAGCAAACAGGAUUAGAGACCCUGGUAGUCCUAGCUGUAAACGAUGGAUGCUAGGUGUGGGCCGGAAAGGUCCGUGCCGUAGUUAACGCGAUAAGCAUCCCGCCUGGGGAGUACGGCCGCAAGGCUAAAACUCAAACGAAUUGACGGGGACCCGCACAAGCAGCGGAGCGUGUGGUUUAAUUCGAUGCUACACGCAGAACCUUACCUGGGCUUGACAUGUAGGUGGUAGUGAAGUGAAAGCGGAGCGACCCUUCGGGGAGCCUACACAGGUGCUGCAUGGCUGUCGUUAGCUCGUGCCGUGAGGUGUCGGGUUAAGUCCCGUAACGAGCGCAACCCUUGUCCUUAGUUACAAGUGUCUAAGGAGACUGCCGGUGACAAACCGGAGGAAGGUGGGGAUGACGUCAAGUCAGCAUGGCCCUUAUGUCCAGGGCGACACACACGCUACAAUGGUCGGUACAAUGGGCAGCGCAGCCGCGAGGUGAAGCGAAUCUCAAAAAAGUCAUCUCAGUUCGGAUUGCAGUCUGCAACUCGGCUGCAUGAAGUUGGAAUCGCUAGUAAUCGUAGAUCAGCGCCCUACGGUGAAUACGUUCCCGGGCCUUGUACACACCGCCCGUCACACCAUGGGAGUUGACAUUGGCAGAAUACAUUGAGCGAACCUUCGGGGAGCAGGUGUGCAAGCUAGUGUU